rnacentral:snRNA from 1 species
GGAUGUGAGGGCAAUCUGGCUGCGACAUCUGUCACCCCGUUGAUCGCCAGGGUUGAUUCGGCUGAUCUGGCUGGCUAGGCAGGUGUCCCCUUCCUCCCUCACCGCUCCAUGUGCAUCCCUCCCGAAGCGGCGCGCUCGGUCGAAGAGGAUGACCUUCCCCGAAUAGAGGAGGACCAGUCUUCGGUCAAGGGUAUACGAGUAGCUGCGCUCCCCUGCUAGAACCUCCAAACAAGCUCUCAAGAAAUAAAGAGGGCAAUACAAGACAUGAUGAAAUGAAAAGACAUCCCAUGUUCUUGGAUAGGAGGAAUCAAUAUUGUG